rnacentral:rRNA from 1 species
GCGUAACGCGUGGGAAUCUGCCCUUGGGUUCGGAAUAACUUCGGGAAACUGAAGCUAAUACCGGAUGAUGACGAAAGUCCAAAGAUUUAUCGCCCAGGGAUGGGCCCGCGCAGGAUUAGCUAGUUGGUGGGGUAAAGGCCUACCAAGGCGACGAUCCUUAGCUGGUCUGAGAGGAUGAUCAGCCACACUGGGACUGAGACACGGCCCAGACUCCUACGGGAGGCAGCAGUAGGGAAUAUUGGACAAUGGGCGAAAGCCUGAUCCAGCAAUGCCGCGUGAGUGAUGAAGGCCUUAGGGUUGUAA